CAGCCGCAGCGACAGCCGGAGCCGGGCGAAGGAAGGGGGGCGCCAGGGAGCGAGCGACGGCCCACAGGCCGCGCAGAAAACACGGCGGCGGCGGCGGGGAUCGGCUCCCCAAUCACGGAGCUGGAGCCUCUCCAGACGAGUUGGCGGAAGUCCGGAAGACGGACGAGCAGCAGCCCGAUCUCGUGCACUUGUGUACCCAGAAGUUUCAGGCUGCUUUUCUCUCUCUUUGUAAACCGCUGCGGGGUUUUUAAGGUGCAUAAAUGUUAUGAAAUGGACGGGUACGCGCUGCCUUGGUUGAAGAGCAUUUCCCUCAACGCACGACAUUCUUGCAAUCCCCACUUUUGCCCACUUUUAAGUUGUUUUUGCAGCAAAGCUCCGGCGCCGUGGACCAUAAACGCGCGCUCUUAGAGUUCAGAGUCACUCGGGACACGGGUAAUGUUUGGAUUUGGCGCGUCAAAAGUGGUUCUCCGAAGGGUGGCGAUUGGCGAGCCUCUCCACUGCGCCUGGGAAGCAAUAGGUCCCAUUGGUACCUAAGGAAUGGCUCCGUGUGCCAGGCUCUUCCCCUUCACCCUACAUGCCCGUGUUCCGUGCGUGAUGCUCUGCUUCGUAACUUGAUUGAACGUGGCCUCCUCACAGGUGCUGUUUCUCGAACGUCUGAGCUAUACCCUAGGGAAGAGAAAAAAAGGCACCUUCCACUGCCCCAAGGCUUUCCACUUGACUCCAGCACCGAUCCUUCACAUACUGUAUAUGAAGAAUGGCAGCAGAGCACAUUCUGAAGCUUGAGGGAGACUGGUAUAGUUCGGUCUCUGAAGUAACAACUAUAUGUUAUGGAAAAUGUAACUGAUCUCUGUGACAGCGGCUGACUGGACAAACGUAACUAUGAAAUGCCGAAAGCUAUCAUAAUGCUAGAAACAAAUGCUGAAGAUUCUAUGAUUCCCAUUUUUAAACAAAACCCUUGGCUACUUUACAGAUUGAAAGAUACUACUGUCAUGGGAACCCACAGGAGUUUUUCUAGGGGGUGGGGUGGGGGAGUAAAACACUGAAAAUAGGGAGUAGGCUAAUCGCUCGGGGGGGGGGAAUGAGAAUAGUGCCUGUACGUUUUGUCUCAUAUCUCAGGUUCUACAAACGACAGAAAUAAACUCUUUUUAAAAAAAGCUUCCUGCCCCCCCCAUGGGUGCCCAUGAUUCUCCCCAAAUCUUGCUCAGAUUCUUUUUUUUUUUUUGAAUCCUAUAUACUAUUAACAGUCUCAUUCUACAAGUGUGGAUCUUUAUGUAGCCCAAACAGCACCACUUAUGUAUAAGAAGGAGGUAUCAGGGGGUGUAAUGCCAAGGUUUGCAGAAGUAAAAAUAAAAUAAAAUAAACCAGCUCAGUUGGUUAGAGUGUGAUGUUGAUAAUGGCAAGGUUGCAGGUUUGAUCCCUGUAUGGGACACCUGCAUAUUCCUGCAUUGCAGGGGAUUGGACGAUCCUCAGAAAACCUGUGGGGAGGGGAAGACCUCAAAACAUGCCAGCGAGGACUGAGCAUGCUCAUUGGCCAUAGAAUGUUGCGUGAUGAGGCCAAGGAAGAACACUGGGAGGGAUGGAAUGGAAUGGAGUAUUGGAGUGGGGGGAGAGACAUGGCAGACUUCCUGGAACUACAGAGCAACAUGUUGUUGCAGAUUCUGCUUUCUUGUUAAAAUCCCUUUUCUGCAUUCUUAACAGCAAAACCUUCUUUCUAUCCUCUGCCCAGUAUUUCAUGCUGCUGCAACGUUAUGCAACGUACAGAUUUUCCAGUGCUUUAGAAAUAAACAUCUUCCCUCCUGUUUAAA